GACGAACGCUGGCGGCGUGCUUAACACAUGCCAGUCGAACGGAAAGGCCCUGCUUUUGUGGGGUGCUCGAGUGGCGAACGGGUGAGUAACACGUGAGUAACCUGCCCUUGACUUUGGGAUAACUUCAGGAAACUGGGGCUAAUACCGGAUAGGAGCUCCUGCUGCAUGGUGGGGGUUGGAAAGUUUCGGCGGUUGGGGAUGGACUCGCGGCUUAUCAGCUGGUUGGUGGGGUAGUGGCUUACCAAGGCUUUGACGGGUAGCCGGCCUGAGAAGGUGACCGGCCACAUUGGGACUGAGGUACGGCCCAGACUCCUACGGGAGGCAGCAGUGGGGAAUAUUGCACAAUGGGCGGAAGCCUGAUGCAGCAACGCCGCGUGCGGGAUGACGGCCUUCGGGUUGUAAACCGCUUUCGCCUGUGACGAAGCGUGAGUGACGGUAAUGGGUAAAGAAGCACCGGCUAACUACGUG
rnacentral:rRNA from 1 species